GCGCCUAUGGUGUAAGGCGUAGCGUCGCUGCCUGAAAAGCAGAAGGUUCGGGUUCGAGUCUCGCCUGGCGCA
rnacentral:tRNA from 1 species